rnacentral:lncRNA from 1 species
CUAAAUAUAGAAAGAUAUGGCUCAAGUAUUGCUACCUUUAGGUUAAUCUAUUAAAAUAUUAAGCCCAAGAAUUUGAGCGCUUCAGGAAAAAUCUUUAAUUAUAAAUUUCAGGUAAUUUCUCAUAGUAUUAUAAAAUAGUCUACAUUCUAGCAAUAUAUUUGUAAUGAGAAUGCAUCUAAGAUAGUUUCAAAUACCAUAUUUUUAUGUUCAAAAAUACUUGCACUUAAAGUGAAUUGUCAUUAUUGAGACAUAACUGUUUCCUGAGGAGUGGAAGAUCAAAUAAUAUAUCUGGUAAGGAAGUCAGGUUCUUACUUGGUUUUUGUAAGGCCAUUGUGAAUUUUACAUCUUAUGCAAAUUAGAUUUUCUCAAUAUCUAGCUCCACCCUCUCUGACAGAUAAAAAAUGCUUGGUAAAAUUAUAGGAAGCAAAAAAUAUAUAUACAAGGUUCAUUUAGUUUGUUUUCAUACUCUUUAAAACCCAAUUUGAAUUUUCUUAUUUUCUUUUUUUUUUUUUUUUCUUUGUCUUUUUAGGGCCAACUGAAGUGGAGGUUCCCAGGUUAGGGUCUAAUUGGAGUUGUUUCUUCAGGCCUACGGCAGAGCCACAGCAAUGCCAGAUCUGAGCCAUGUCUGAGAUCUACAUCACAGCUCACGGCAAUGCCGGAUCCUUAACCCACUGAGUGAGGCCAGGGAUCAAACCUGCAACUUCAUGGUUCCCAGUCAGAUUUGUUUCUGCUGCACCAUGACGGGAACUCCUGAAAUUGUGUUUUCUUAAGACUCGUAUUUUUAACCUGAAAUUCAUGGUUUUAUCGAACUGUAUUUUUUAAAGUAUGAUGUAAUGCAUGUGCUCUGUUACCACUAUAUUUUUUUAAUUUACAAAUAAGUGUUGUGGACAGUUUUUUAAAAAGCAUUUUAAUAUAACAAGCCUUUUGAAUGAUUUGAUUAAGGAAGAUAAAUUAUAAAUUUAAAAAUACAUGUAAUUAUAAAACUCUUCAUAGGUUUAUUUUUGUUGCCAGAAAUAUCAUUGUUUAAAUCAUACUCACAUACACUCAAUGUACACACACAUAAAUAUGAAUACUGCUCAUUAGAAAUAAAAUUUCAUCAUAAUAUCAAUAAAGUAUUUAGCAAUAAAGUAUUUAUUUUUAAAAAAUUAGUAAAAGUUUGGCACAGCGGAAAUGAAUCCAACUAGGAACAGUGAGGUUGUGGGUUUGAUCCCUGGCCGCGCUCAGUGGGUUGGGGAUCUGGCGUUGCCGUGAGCUGUGGUAUAGGUCGCAGAUGAAGCUUGGAUCCCAAGUUGCUGUGGCUCUGGCAUAGGCCAGCGGCUGCAGCUCCAAUUGGACCCCUAGCCUGGGAGCCUCCAUAUGCCUCAGGUGCAGCCCUAAAAAGACAAAAAAAAGACAAAAAAAAUUAGUAAAAGUUUUAGUUUUAUAGAACAAAUAAUAAAUUCAUAUUUUCAAAAGAUUUUUAUGACGGUUGUAAAGAUGCUCUUGUACAACCCAAAAAAAUGAGAACAGUUUAUUCUCAGCGAUUUAAAGAAAGUAACUUAUGUUAUUUAAAAUGUAUGCUGAACUUUUUCAAAGCAGCAUUCCGGGGAUGGUAGUGUGGAUAAAAGAUCUUGGGAACACUUGCCUUUAAGCAGUCUUAGUAAGCAGAGAAGAAGCUCUAAAGAACAAGCAAAUUUCUCCCUUAUUAGCCUCAAAGCAUCAUCUUUCCCAGGUGUUAAGUAGUAACUGAAGGCAGUCCUGCAGGGCAAUGUAAGACCUUGUCCAGCUCUUGUCUCUUCAUGGGUAGGGCAAUUAGAAACUGUGUCAGAUUUCUUAUCAGAGUUAUCAUUUUGAACAAUGUGUUUUUUCCCCUGAAGUAUUUAAUCUAAUAGGUUUGAGGUCUCAGAUUGAUAGUGUCAGUUUGGAGUGAGAGCCUUUUUGAUGGAGGAACAAUAAUUUUGAGAAGGUGAUUUUUAACGUUUGAGACCAGGCAGGCCUUUAUGUUUCUCCUUAAACUAUUAGUUCUCAGAUUUGGUGAUUUUACCCCCAGGGAAAUACUUGGCAGCGUUUGGGCACAUUUUUGGUUAUAACACAGGGAGGUGAUACUGAUGUUCACUGGGUUGGGGCCGGGAAUACUGCUAAACAUCCUACAAUGUCCACCAGAAUGGGAAGCCCCCAGGACAAAGAAUGUCAAUAAUGCUGAGAUUGAAAAACCCUGCCCUAAGUGAGAAAACACAUUAACCUCUCCCUCUUUUUUCCUCUCUGGGAAAAACUGGUUUAAGUUGGGUUUUACUUAACAAUUAUUAAGAUGUCAUUUUUUUGUCAGUAGAGUUAAGAGAACUAUUCAGGGAGUUCUCGUUUGCUGCUCAGCAAGUUAAGAACACAACAUAGUGUCUGCAAGGAUGCAGUUUGAUCCCUGGCCUUGCUCAGUGGAUUAAGGAUCCAGCAUUGCCACAAACGGAGGUGUAAUUUGCAGGUGUGGCUCAAAUCUGGAAUGGCUGUGACUGUGGUGGAGGCCAGCAGCUGUAGCUCUGAUUUGACCCCUAGACUGGGAACUUCCUUAUGCCACAGAUAUGGCCUAAAAAGAAGAGAAAAGAGAGAGAGACAGAGAGAACUGUUCAGCAAAGUUGUUCUACAGGGCUUCUCGGAUGUGAAGAUACCACCAGGAAGAGCAUUUAAAAACAGGAAGGAGGGGAGUUCCCGUCGUGGCGCCUUGGUUAAUGAAUCCGACUAGGAACCAUGAGGUUGCGGGUUCAGUCCCUGCCCUUGCUCAGUGGGUUAACGAUCCGGCGUUGCCAUGAGCUGUGGUGUAGGUUGCAGACUCGGCUUGGAUCCCACGUUGCUGUGGCUCUUGUGUAGGCCGGUGGCUACAGCUCCAAUUGGACUCCUAGCCUGGGAAUCUCCAUAUGCCUAUGCCGUGGGAGCAGCCCAAGAAAUAGCAAAUAAAUAAAUAAAUAAAUAAAUAAAAAUAAAAACAGGAAGGAGGGAGUUCCUGUAGUAGCUCAGCAGAAACAAAUCCAACUUGUAUACAUGAGGUUGUGAGUUCGAUCUUUGGCCUCACCCAGUUGGUUAAGGAUCUGGCCUUGGCAUGUGCUGUGGUAUAGGUUGCAAUCACGGCUAGGAUCCUGCAUUGCUGUUGGCUGGCUGUGGCCCAGGCUGGCAGCUGUAGCUCUAAUUUGACUCCUAGCCUGGGAACUUCCAUAUGCCAUGGGUGUGGCCUU